AGAACGAACGCUGGCGGCAGGCUUAACACAUGCAAGUCGAACGCCCCGCAAGGGGAGUGGCAGACGGGUGAGUAACGCGUGGGAAUCUACCCAGUUCUACGGAAUAACACAGGGAAACUUGUGCUAAUACCGUAUACGCCCUACGGGGGAAAGAUUUAUCGGGAUUGGAUGAGCCCGCGUUGGAUUAGCUAGUUGGUGGGGUAAUGGCCUACCAAGGCGACGACGGGUAGCC
rnacentral:rRNA from 1 species